UUAACUCAGUUUUGUAUGGAAUUGGAACGUUUGUCUACUUUUGUCACUAGGGGCGCUGUUACUACUGCAUACAAAUUUGAGUUA
rnacentral:pre_miRNA from 1 species